rnacentral:rRNA from 1 species
AGUGAACGCUGGCGGUAGGCCUAACACAUGCAAGUCGAACGGCAGCACAGUAAGAGCCUGCUCUUACGGGUGGCGAGUGGCGGACGGGUGAGGAAUACAUCGGAAUCUACUUUUUCGUGGGGGAUAACGUAGGGAAACUUACGCUAAUACCGCAUACGACCUACGGGUGAAAGCAGUGGAUCUUCGGACCUUGCGCGAUUGAAUUAGCCGAUGUCGGAUUAGCUAGUUGGCGGGGUAAAGGCCCACCAAGGCGACGAUCCGUAGCUGGUCUGAGAGGAUGAUCAGCCACACUGGAACUGAGACACGGUCCAGACUCCUACGGGAGGCAGCAGUGGGGAAUAUUGGACAAUGGGCGCAAGCCUGAUCCAGCCAUACCGCGUGGGUGAAGAAGGCCUUCGGGUUGUAAAGCCCUUUUGUUGGGAAAGAAAGGCAGCAGGUUAAUACCCCGCUGUUCUGACGGUACCCAAAGAAUAAGCACCGGCUAACUUCGUG